GGACUACUGGGGUAUCUAAUCCUGUUUGCUCCCCUUGCUUUCGCGCCUCAGCGUCAGGUAUAAACUAGAAAACCGCCUUCGCCACUGGUGUUCUUCCACAUAUCUACGCAUUUCACCGCUACUUGUGGAAUUCCGUUUUCUCCGUCUACCCUCUAGAAAUAUAGUUUCAAAUGCUGUUCCGAAGUUGAGCUCCGGGAUUUCACAUCUGACUUGCAUUUCCGCCUACGCGCCCUUUACGCCCAAUAAAUCCGAUUAAUGCUUGUACCCUACGUAUUACCGCGGCUGCUGGCAC
rnacentral:rRNA from 1 species